UUUCUCUAUCGUUUCUUCUUCCAUUUACAGAUUAUUUACAAGGAAAAAACAUCGUCCGGAAAACAGUACGCGGUCUUAACAACGAAGGAUGUCUGGGUGAUUGUUUCGUCUUUAUCCGCAUUGUCCCAUCACUGACACGAGUAGGAUGCAGACCUACAGUGUGGGCCAAAAAUAUUGGAGGAGCUCUUGGCUGUUUUAAAUCAUGUCUUACAAGGAAAGGAAGACAUAGAUGAUCAAGAAGAACCAAGAGACUGCUGUAGAUGGACAACAGGGACACCUGCAGGACAAAAAAGAUGGAUGCAAGCAAAGUAUGGCAGUGGCGCAUUAUGCAUGUUAAGAAAAAUUCAAGACAUCCACAACCAUUUUAUCACUGCAGUAGAGUAGGAUUGGAUUUUAACGUGGCAUCCAGCACAAGGAAAAAAAUAGACAUACAAUUAGUGACAAACGCUGUCAUACUUGAGGUCUGUGACUUUGCUAAAACAGUAAACAAGGGUAAAAGUCGCUUUCUUACAAAAAUUCUUGAGAACAAUUUUGAUCUUGGUUUGAAAAAUAAGCAACAGCGGAUUGAUUUUACUGCUCGAAUUCAUUACAAAGUCAAAGAGCUGAUCAGGAAACCUCCUGUGGAUAGAAAUGAAGUUUUCACUCUGUUUGACACAUCUAAGCCAGAAUGCAACAGCAACAAUGGGCUGACCAAAGCAUCUACAGAGCACAAGACUGAAAGGUUCCCAAUGGAGAUGGAUGAUACUGAUGAUAGUGAACAAGAAGAUGAAUUCAUGUGUUCACAAGAACCAUCCAACGGAAACAUAAAGACCGAACGCCUCUCAGAAGAGAUGGGUGGAGCACCCCAUGAAGACUAUGAACAUGAGGAUGAAUUCAUAUUUUCAAGCACACUGUCAAUAGAGGAGCUGAAGGACGAUUUUCUUAUCUCUGCGUUCCCUUAUUGUGAAGAAAU